AUGUGUGGACAUGACAAUGAAAUGAUGUUUCACUCGCUUAUGGAGUGUGACCACGCAAAACGUUUUUGGGAAGCAGCUGAGCGCUUCUUUGGUAUUGAUAUACCACGGUUACACCCAUUGUCAUGGUCUCGAGAUCUGUUAGAUCAACGUUUGUUCAAGAAGGAGGUGGCGGCUAUUAUGAUCACUGUGAUGUGGGCUGUGUGGCACUCCAGGAACAGUUAUACUCAUGCUGAGUUAGUAUACCACCCGGUCAAAUCAAUGGUGAUUAUAGAAGAGAUUAUCAGGGUACUGGAAAUCCCUGAGAGGAGGAAGGCCCAAGUUACUACUCCCCGGAGGUGGCUACCACCUGAGGAUGGGUGGAUAAAGGUCAACACCGAUGGAGCUACGGACGCGGGUCUAAUAUGUGGCGGGGCAGGCUUCAUUGCUAGAGAUCAUCAUGGAGCACUCGUUAGAGUGGGAGGAUCACGAUAUGAUGGAGUUACUGAUCCCUUAUCCAUUGAACUACUUGCAUGCAGAGACGCGAUCCUAAUGGCACGAGACAUGGGCUUGCAGCAGGUGGUGUUGGAGACAGAUUGUUAG
rnacentral:rRNA from 1 species